rnacentral:pre_miRNA from 1 species
UAAGUACUCCCUCCGUCCCAAAACUCUUGUCUUAAAUUUGUCUAGAUACGGAUGUAUCUAAUACUAAAACGUGACUUGAUACAUCCGUAUUUAGACAAAUCUAAGACACGAAUUUUGGGACGGAGGGAGUAUUAA